rnacentral:rRNA from 1 species
AGCAGCCGCGGUAAUUCCAGCUCCAAUAGCGUAUAUUAAAGUUGUUGCAGUUAAAAAGCUCGUAGUUGAAUUUCGGGAUCAAUUUGCUGGUCGUGCCUUCGGUACGCACUGGUAUUAUUGGUUUCUCCUUUCUGAUGAAUCGCGAUGUCAUUAAUUUGGUGUCGUGGGGAAUCAGGACCGUUACUUUGAAAAAAUUAGAGUGUUUAAAGCAGGCUCACGCCUGAAUACAUUAGCAUGGAAUAAUGAAAUAGGACGUUUGAUUCUAUUUUGUUGGUUUCUAGGAUCGACGUAAUGAUUAAUAGGGAUAGUUGGGGGCAUUAGUAUUCAAUUGUCAGAGGUGAAAUUCUUGGAUUUAUUGAAGACUAACUACUGCGAAAGCAUUUGCCAAGGAUGUUUUCAUUAAUCAAGAACGAAAGUUAGGGGAUCGAAGACGAUCAGAUACCGUCGUAGUCUUAACCAUAAACUAUGCCGACUAGGGAUCGGAUGAUGUUAAUUUUUAAUGUACUCAUUCGGC